rnacentral:lncRNA from 1 species
CAAAAGACCUUGUCCUAAACCUCGUCUCCCAUAGAGAGGAGAUUCAGAACCUGACCUUUACUGAGGAGUUAGUUUGGAAAUGGACCCUCUGAUUCCUCCUGUUGAAAAUCUGAACUUGUGAUCUGAGUGAAGAUUUCAGGGAUAAAGUCACUGGAGCAUGUGUUCCCAGGGUACAAUUGGAAAGCCCUUGACAGGAGGUAGCGUUGCAAGGUUUUAGGUGCUGUGAGUUUGUGGAGAGUGUUUGUACUUGCUAGGAAGGUGACUGAACGCUAUCAUCUCCUGGCAGCAGCCUUAGGUGACAGGUCCCACAUUGUUCAUAUCAAUGCUUAACUAGAAGUCCUGAGGCUCUGGCUUGUUCUUUCUUGUCUGUGUGCCUUAAACUCUGACACAGUAAUGGUGCAUACAUUUCUAGUGAUUCUCAUUGUGCUCUUUCCAUAUUUGACUCUCUUUCUCAUUCUCUGAGUCUGUUUACUUUUCUUUUCUUGUGGGUGUGUCCCAGUUUGUGUGUCUGUGUG